CAGCCUCAGAGCAAGCGACUCAACCCGCUGAAUUCAAGCAUAUUCCUCAGCGGAGAAAAAGAAACUAACAAGGAUUUCCUUAGUAGCGGCGAGCGAACAGGAAACAGCCCAUCACUGAAUCCCGCGCUUCUGCAGCCGGGAAAUGUAGUGUUCGGGAGCAUCCACAUAUCCCGAGGCGUCGGCUGGCGUCCAAGUUCAUCUUGAAUGGGGACACUUACCCGCAGAGGGUGCCAGGCCCGUAGUGAUCGGGACGUGCAAUGGGAGGGUCUCUUGUUAAAGUCGGGUUGCUCGAGAGUGCAGCUCUCAGUGGGUGUUAGACUGCAUCUAAGGCUGAAUAUGACCUCGAGACCGAUAGCGAACAAGUACCGUAAGGAAAAGUUACGAAGAACUUUAAAGAGAGAGUUCAAGAGUAUGCAAAACCGUUCAGAGGUGAACCUGAGAAACCCGAAAGAUCGAACGGGGACAUUCAUUGUCAGUGACGCAGACUUCGCCGCGGCUCGUAAUGUCGGGACCUCGCGUCCACGGCACUUGGUCGCGGUGCAAUAUCCGGCCGCGCCGGCGUGCACUUCUCCCCUAGCAGGACGCCGCAAUCCGUUGGAUGUCGUUCAAACGCCCGGUCGUCUGCCUGUCCCGGCGUUCGCGUUGGGGCAGACCCCCGGCUGCCCGACCGGCUUAGCCAGCUGUUAGCUGGCGGUGUCUUCUGGCUGGUUCGUCCGAAUUAUCGCAUACCGCUCGGCGUCGCUACUGCUCCGGGUACUUUCAGGACCGGUCUUGAAACAAAGACGAAGGAGUCUAACAUGUUCGCGAGUCAUUGGGACGAGCAAACCUGAAGGCAAAAUGAACGUAAAGGUUAGUCCAGCGCUGACCGAAGGAGGAUGGGCCGCGUCACGAUGCGGCCCCGCACUCCCGGGGUGUUUCGUCCUCACUAUAAGAAAAGGCGCACCCAGAGCGUACACGUUGCGACCCGAAAGAUGGUGAACUAUGCCUGGUCAGGACAAGGUCAGGGGAAACCCUUAUGACGUUCGUAGCGAUUCUGACGUGCAAAUAGAUCGUCGGAACUGGGUAAAGUGGCGAAAGACUAAUUGAACCAUCCAGUAGCUGGUUUUCUCUGAAGUUUCCGUCAGGAUAGCCGGCACUUGCGUACAAAACGUACCCGAGUCUCAUCCGGUAAAGCGAAUGAUUAGAGGCCUUGGGACCGAAACGACCUCUACCUUUUUUCAAACUUUGAAUAGGUGUAUCUCUGCCUUGCUCGAACUAUAAAGUCACAAGAUUCCGGAUCAGAGUGCCAAGUGAGCCACUUUUGGUGAGCAGAUCUGGCACUAUGGGAUGAACCAAACGCCGAGUUAAGCCGCCAGAGUCAACGCUUAUGGGAUAGCAUAAAAGGCGAUGGUUGCUUGUGAAAGCAGGACGGUGGCCAUGGAAGUCGGAAUCCGCUAAGGAGUGUGUAACAACUCACCUGCCGAAGUAACUCGCCCCGAAAAUGAAUAACGCCGAAACGUCACGCCUAUACUUAG
rnacentral:lncRNA from 1 species